AAGGACUUGGUUUGGCAACACGGUCUUCCAUCUACCACCAACCUACUGAAGAGCAGCUCAGAGAUGGGACAGUGACGUCAUCCAUUUUGGUCCUUGUCCACCUUCUGCCACAGUCACUUCAUGGCCGCAAGAGACAAGCAAAAAUCUCAGCCAGACACGCCAGUGACCACAUUGUGAAGUUUAUCUAGACUGGGACCAGCAUCCAGGGGCAUCUGGAGAGAAUCAUUGAAAGCCUUCAACCCUAUCUGCUUGCUGUGGGGACCCAGAGGAGUGUGAUUCACAAGUACUUCAUUGUGAUUGAGAAACACCUUGUAACUCACCAGACAUUCUUGCCUGUUUUGAUGAGCUUUUCAAAGCUCAUUUUGUAUUCGGUACCUCAUACAACCAGGAUCUGGUAAAUGUGUACAACUUCUUGCAAACCACAAUUUAUGAAAUUGAUGUUGAUACCACUAAGGUUAAUCUUAGGGUUGCAGAGUUGAGGUCUCAGAUGCUGCAUUGAGUUACUAAAAGUUUUGAAGUUGCAAACGGUUAAAACGCAGCAUAGGAAAUAACCUUUUUCAUUUCACACAGAAACUUCUUCAUAUCAUUCAUCUAAAAUGUUGUGUUUUGCUUGCAAAAGCCCCCAGGCAAAUGCUAAUUCCUUGACAAAACACCUGAAGUUGGUCCACGGAUAUUGUCCUGGAAAGACACUUGGUCUUAAAUGUGGUCAAGAUGGUUGUUCACAAGUUUAUGUCACUUUUUCUGGGUUCAGAAAGCAUCUUUAUAAAGCACAUGAACCUUGUUCUGAUCAUGGUGAAGGCCCCUCUACAGCUGAAUAUGUAGCAGGAAGUCAUUUUGAUGACUUGCCAUCAAGUUCCCCUUCUUCCAUGGAAGAGAUAGUUGAUUCUGUGAAGAAGUGUCUGUCUAUACAGGAGCCUAUUAAAAGGGACAUUGAGAGCAAAAUUGAUCAGUGUUUUGAAAAAAAUGAAAAUCCUUUGUUGUAUUAAAUUCUGAAAGUAAGAGAAGGCAGUAUUUUACAGAAAAGUGGUGAAGGUUAGACCAGUUGAAUACGUUCUUGGUACUAGAUUUGAUACACAACAUAAUCAGACUACUGGAGGCUAUGAUCAGAUUGUUGUUACUGAUAAAUUUGUUUGCAUCCCAAUUUUGAAAACAUUGCAGUUAAUAUAAAGGAGAUGAUGCAGACGGAUUCCAGUUCAAGAAAACUUUGCGACUUGUUUAUUUUACCUUUAUUUAACUAGGCAAGUCAGUUAAGAACAAAUUCUUAUUCUCAAUGACAGCCUAGGAACAGUGGGUUAACUGCCUUGUUCAGGGCAGAACGACAGAUUUUUACCUUGUCAGCUCGGGGAUUCGAUCUUGUAACCUUUUGGUUACUAGUCCAACGCUCUACAAACAAUAUGUCUUGAUGAACAUUUUAAUGCAGAUAGAGUUGGGUGUACAACAGAGGGACCUUAUGUAGUGGAUGUUAAAGAGCUUUUCUGUCACAAAGCAUUUGAUAUACAGAUGUCUUACAGUUGUGAUAAUUCAAGUUUGUUUAUUGUCCCAUACGGUUUCCUGUGAUUCUAAAAACUGCACAGUAAGCUCUUUAAAACCAAGAUGUAUUGUAUUGCAAUAUUGGCUUUUUUAUUUACUUUUAAUAAAGUGGGGACAGAUGCCAACCUUUCAUUUCUGUCCACAAUUCUAUUUUAUGAUCAUCAGUAUUUUGAUGUAUUGCAAAUGCCUUACAUUUAAGAAUAAAGUGCCU